rnacentral:tRNA from 1 species
UCCCUGGUGGUGCAGUGGGUUAAGGAUCCUGCAUUCUAACUGCUGCGGCACAGGUUUGAUCCCUGGCCUGGGAA